CGUGUAGGUGGUCUGAUAAGUCAGGUGUGAAAGCCCCUGGCUCAACCAGGGAAGUGCAUUUGAAACUAUCAGACUUGAGUACGGGAGAGGGAAGUGGAAUUCCUGGUGUAGAGGUGAAAUUCGUAGAUAUCAGGAGGAAUACCGGUGGCGAAGGCGACUUCCUGGACCGAUACUGACACUGAGACGCGAAAGCGUGGGGAGCAAACAGGAUUAGAUACCCUGGUAGUCCACGCCGUAAACGAUGGGCACUAGGUGUAGCGGGUAUUGACCCCUGCUGUGCCGAAGCUAACGCAUUAAGUGCCCCGCCUGGGGAGUACGACCGCAAGGUUAAA
rnacentral:rRNA from 1 species